AAGCAUUGUUUCUUAAUCUGAGUAUAUCAAUAUUACCUUGUUCAGAACUUAAAGAGAAAUCUUGAGUUUAUGGACUUCAGGGGGAGUAUGGUCACAAGGCUGAAACUUAAAGGAAUUGACGGAAGGGCACACCAGGAGUGGAGCCUGCGGCUUAAUUUGACUCAACACGGGGAAACUUACCAAGACCGAACAGUAGAAGGAAUGACAGAUUAAGAGUUCUUUCAUGAUUUAUUGGGUAGUGGUGCAUGGCCGUUCUUAGUUGGUGGAGUGAUUUGUCAGGUUAAUUCCGGUAACGAACGAGACUGAAACCUAUUAAUUAGUUUUCUGCCUAUAAGACAGAAAUGUUCGCAAGAACAGGUGCGUAAGUACCACUUCUUAAAGGGACACAUUUCAAUUGUCCUAUUUUAAUUGUAGUUAU
rnacentral:rRNA from 1 species